UAGAGAGCUACUCCUCAAUGUAAAAGGCCAUUAUGAAAGGUUAAUUAAAAUACUGAGAAUAUCCUUUAUAUGGGGUGAGCAUAGUUGUUUUGGACGGAAUUGUGUCCUCUCCAAAAUUCAUAUAUUGAAGCCUUAAUCCCCCAUGUAUUUGAAGAGGUAAUUAAACUUAAAUGGGGUCAUAUGGGUGGGUUCUGAUCCAUUGACUGAUGUCUUAAUAUGAAGAGGAAAGGGAACAAGUAGGGCAUGAGCUCAGAGGAAAAGCCGUGUGAGGACACAGCAAGAAGUGGCCAAGUGCAAGCCAAGGAAAGAAGCCUCAGGAGAAACCAAACCUGCCAAGGUCUUGACCUUGGACUUCUGGCCUCCAGGCCUGUCAGAAAAUUCAUUUCUGUUGUUCAAGCCAGCCAGUCUGUGGUGUUUUGUUACAGCAGCCCUAGCAAAUUAAUAAAGUAAUUCACGCAUUUGAUAAAGAAUAACAGACUUCAGAUUUUCAGUAUGAUGAAUAUUAAAGAAAAGGUAAGAAACUGGAAUCAGAGAGUCCUCAAAAGGAAUAUUAAGGGAGUUCUAUAUGAGUGUAUGCUUGUUUGAUUACAAAAGAGAUUUUAGAAUAUGUGUGUGAAACGGAAGACGAUAAUAAGGCCGCAGAAGUGAUGUGCUUUCUCCAGGCUUAAGCUUUGAGGAUCCGUGUGACUUUGCCAGCGUCUGAUUCCCUCCCUCCUGAUGGUAGGCAGGCCAUGCCUCAGAUGGCAGCCACUCUGUCGCUCUGAGACCGAACCACAGAGUAGCCACAACUUGAGCAGCGCCCCCGCUGGUCUGCAAUGAGCAUAGGUUGUGAAAAAAAUCUUUUGGUUCUAAACCAAUGAUAGAUUGAGGUCGUUUGCUACCCCAUCACAACUUAGUCUCUCUUAAUUUCUACAAGGAUAAGAAAAGCGAAUUAAUAGCUGAUGGAUCAUAAAUUCUAAAAAGAAACGAGGACGGAUUACGGAAAACGGAGUGUCUAGCUUUGGAGCGAAUUCUCUGAGACUAAAAUAAUGGAAGAAAGUCUACGUCAAUGUCGAGACUCCCUCCACACUGAAUGAAACUGACCUGUAAAAUCUUCAGGAUAUUGCAGAAAUGACAGGGUGGGACUUUGGAGGCUGGCUCAUAAAAGACACUGAGACUUCAGCUUUGCUCUCCGAUGGCUUGUGCUAAGGGAAACCAGCCACAACGUGGUAGGAAAACUCAAGCCACUGUGACAAGAAACCAAGGCCUCCUGCAAACAGCCACCUUAAUACAGUGUCAUGUCAUGAACUGAAUACGGCUCGGACAUUUACAAUUUUAAAAACAUUGCUGGCAAGAACUUGGAGUUCCAGACCUAGUGAAAAUAUUCUUCAAAAGUGAAGAUACAAACAAUAGCUGAGAGAAUUCAUCACUGUAUAAACAAUGAAAGAUGUACUACAGCUAAGGCAAAAUGAUUCUAGAUGAACACAUGGAACUGAAAGAAACAGUACCAGAAAGAAAACAAUAUUUUGUCUCUAACUCUCAGCUACAACAGAUUCUGAAGAAUGACCUUCGUGGAUAUGAGCAAGAGUUUCUCUGGGAAACAGCCCAAGGAGGUGGACUAUAGCACACAGAGUAUGAGUUUUACCAGGUACAGCAAGCUUCUUGCCAGGAUGGUUGUUCCUAUACACGGUGGAUCAUCCACAGAGAAAACCCAGUUCCAUGAACAGACCAACCAUUAGAAAUGGAGUACUAACUAGCCACAGAUAGCACUAUAAAUAUGUCUUUGCCUGAAUCAAUCUUUGUAUUCAAUAUAACUCCGAUAAAAACUCAAGAGAUUAUAAAACACAUUUGAAAAAAUAAAUUUCACAAACAUCAAGGAUUCUGAAAAACAGUAAAUAAAGAGGCUUACAAGAUUUAAAAGCAAUUGAUGCAGGCAAGGAAUUUUUAAACGAGAAACGUAUUUGGUAAACUUAGUAAUUUCUCUUUAACAAAGAUCAUCUUAGACUAAGUUAUCAUUAACUGACUUAUUUACAUGUAACUGAAAUAUCAUCAUAGAAAAUAUUUGCAAAGUCUACAAUUGAAAAAUAAUAUACAGAACAUAAAAAGAAACUCCUGCCAAUGGAUAAAUUAAAUUUAAAAAGGAAUCUAGAAGGAAACUCAGCUAACAGAAAAAAGGAAUCUCAGAGAAAACAGAACACAAUUGUAGGAAAUUAAAAAAUGUUAAACUAUUAGUUUGUAUCAGUUAACUUAUAUAACUAUAAUUAAACUAUUAGUUAAUACAUUAAUUAGAAUGAUAAGAAAACAGCUCACCCAUGAAAUAAGAGUUGGUAUGAAUUAACAAAAAAAUUAAAAAUCCUUGGAAAUUAAGGAUAGUUUUAAAUGUCAUGUUAUUGGCUAUAAAAAGAAUUCAGACUCUCAUCUAGUUCCUAGUUCCCAGCUUCCAAGUACCUUCACUAUAGCAAGACUGGGUUCUCUUGAGAAUGAUCCAUAUGCAAGGCUAACAAUUAGUAUAAAUCUUCCUUCAUGUCUUUUCUUAAGAGAACUGUGGUCCUUUUGCUUUUCAGGAAUAGACAUCAGCUCUCAUUUAACUUUUAUCCUUAAGACCCAGAAUGCCAUUAUACUCUGUGAGUCUUAAAGGGGCUUAUAGAGGUCAAAGGAAAAUUAAAUUUUAGGCUCAGUCUGCCUCAUGCUGGGUCCAGUGAAUCCACAGAGGUGUGUCUGUUUCACACACCUGAAUAUAUAUUUGGAAGAGAGAGACACAACCUCAGCAGUGUCCUCAUACUGGAUCUUCAAAUUAUAGAGUGAGGGCCAAACUGAAAUCCCUAAAACUACUCGUGUGCAAAAAAUAGUAAAACAAAAAAAAAACACAUUGUUAGGUGUUUUGGUUCCGGUACCAAUUCCAACACGUGGAGAGAAAGUGAAAGUCCCCUUACCAACAGAAAGCUAUUUUCCUACAAUAUCAGGGUGUCUGAAAAUCCAGUCCAAUUCUGAGACUACCUAUGGGGAGAUACCAUCAGAUGCCACCGGGUAAUGGUCCAGUCCUACAAGACUGUGCCCCCUCCAAUCACACACACACACAUACACACACACACACACACACACACACGAGGCCAGUCUCAAGUCCAGGUUUCACCUGUAUGUCCGAACAACUGGCUACAAGUGACAGGUUCCCAUGAAGUUCUCCACUCUUGGAUUUCAUUCAUUUGCUCCACAAUUCAUAGAACGCAAAGAAACAUUUUACUUACCGACUCAACAGUUUGUAAUAAAAGUAUGUAACUCAGGAGCAGCCAGAUGGAAGGCACAAGGCAAGGCAC